UGCAUGGCCUAGACGGCCAAGUGAGAUUGCGAAGAACUUGCCACUUGCACCAGUAAAGCUCCAUUGCACUAUGCCUGCUGAAGAUGCAAUUAAAAUCAAAGAAGGUGAAUCUGGGAGACAGCCUUGCAGAGACACCUUUGAAAGUUUCUUGUAUGUACCCAUGAGGACCGUCAUGGUAUCCACCCGCAACCUCUUGUUGGCUUUCUAUGCGGUGCCUCAGCCUCCUAUAGAUGACCGAAAGCUUGCAGUAGCAUCAUCAUCAUCUCUGUCUCCUUCCUCACGAGCUUCA